rnacentral:rRNA from 1 species
GACGGAGGGUGCAAGCGUUGUUCGGAAUUACUGGGCGUAAAGCGCGGGUAGGUGGCCUUUUAAGUCCUUUGUGAAAUUCCGGAGCUCAACUCCGGACAUGCAUAGGAUACUGGAAGGCUAGAGACUGGUAGAGGCGAGCGGAAUUCCUGGUGUAGCGGUGAAAUGCGUAGAUAUCUGGAGGAACACCGGUGGCGAAGGCGGCGUCCUGGACCAACACUGACACUGAUGAGCGAAAGCCAGGGGAGCAAACGGG